rnacentral:lncRNA from 1 species
ACGGCGCCGUCGCUUGCGGCGGUGAUUCGCCUCGGGUUGGCCGUUUUCGGCCGUUUCCGGUCGAAUUCGGCCACACUUGCAUCGGUCCCUGCGAUAAACAACCCUAGGGCCCUCGGGGGGCCAAAAAAUUACGAAAAACUGAAGCUUACCGGCGGCAGUGCUCUCGAGUGCGGCGGCUCUCCGACGAGGUUCGUGUUUUGGUGAUUUGGCUCCGAUCAAUCUGUAGAGAAAAGAAUGGUGAUCACGGUGAUAUAAAAAUUGUAUCAAACGGAGGCCGGGAAGGGCCUCAUUGGAGGCAAAAAUUGAGGAGGGGCGCGGCGGCGCCGCUGGGUUUCGGCCGUGUUUUUCGGCUGUUUGGCCGGGAUUUUGGCUCCGAUUUGGCCACAGGGGAACUCAGCAUUGAAAAACGAGCUAGGGGUAUGAAAUU